GACGAACGCUGGCGGCGUGCCUACUACAUGCAAGUAGAACGCAGUUGCGAACGGGUGAGUAACGCGUAGGUAACUGCCUCAUAGCGGGGGAUAACUAUUGGAAACGAUAGCUAAUACCGCAUACUGUGAGAUGGACCUGCGUUGUAUUAGCUAGUUGGUGAGGUAAAGGCUCACCAAGGCGACGAUCCAUAGCAGACCUGAGAGGGUGAUCGAGCACACAGGGGCAGAGACACGGCCCAGAUCCCUACGGGAUGCAGUAGUAGUGAAGCUUGGACAAAGGACGGAAGUCUGACCGAGGGACGCGGCGUGAGGGCAGAAGGUUUUCGGAUCAUAAAGCGCGGUUGUUGGAAAAGCGGUAACUAACCAGAAAGGGACGGCUAACUACGUGCCAGCAGCCGCGGUUAUUC
rnacentral:rRNA from 1 species